rnacentral:tRNA from 1 species
GGGGAUUUAGCUCAGUGGUAGAGCGCUUGCCUAGGAAGCGCAAGGCCCUGGGUUCGAGCCCCAGCUCCG